UCAAGAGGCCAAAAGCCGGCUGGAGCUUUAUCAGUCCAGAGGCUCAAGAGGAUUCCAUUGACUGUUGCGGUUCCUGAGAAAAAAAAAAAAAAAAAAUUGUUAUAUUUUUUCUUUUUGCAUCUUGGGUUGUGUAAAACAACUUCUUGGAUCUUGUUUUUGUUCCCCAAUUCAUCAAAAUUCUAAUUGAGUGUACAUACAAGUAGACAUCUUGUGUAAAUUACAUUUUCACGAAAAAUCUGAAAUCCUCUUUUAACGAGUUUCUUCAGAGUUUGCUGCCUUUCACCGAUUCUUCGCUUUUCCUUGCUGGUUGUUGUCAAUGUCAAAUUAAUUCGUAGGCCCGAACCCAAGAAUCAAGAACCAAAAAUGCAAAAACUCAAUUCGUAUGAUUUAUUGAUCUUCAAUGACCGAAUUGAAUGCCGUCGCGUCAUGAUUCUCUUGUUCUUCUGUGCUGAAAUUUUCCUUUUUUCCGGCAACGGGAAUCAAAAUGGGUCCAUAAAUUUCAUAUUUUGCUUGAAAGAUGGCGGUUUUGUGUAUUAUUGGUAGUUUGGUUCGUUGAGUUGAAAAGGGUCUUAGCUUAUAUGGUAUACAAAUAAUAAUAACAUAACAACUGUUAUAUAUGUAUAGUACCCAAAAGUGUAUUUCAUUCGAUAUAGUUUUUGUAUAUUAAGACUUUUCC
rnacentral:lncRNA from 1 species